GUAGUUGUGUCCUAGUGGUCAAGGCACCAGACGAUGUAUCUGGGGGCUUAUACCAGUGUGGGUUUGAGUCCCACCAUCUACC